rnacentral:rRNA from 1 species
UGAAAUCAAGUAGGAUUACCCGCUGAACUU